CAGAGAACACUACAAACUGAUGUCCUGUGUUUGCAGAGCUGGAGGAGCUGGGACAGCAGCUGCCUUCCCACCAUGCACAGCGACAGUGCUUCAUCCUUGCCCUGGGAGGCCGUUUCCCAGGAUGAGAGGAUAAUUCACUCGCUAUAGCCCAUUCAAUCUUCAGCCUCU
rnacentral:sRNA from 1 species